CUGGAAUUUGUUGACGAGGAACACCUUCUUUGUGAAGGGUAUAAUAAUUGCUUGUGUUUAAUUAAUGUCACAACUUGUGACAUAUUAACUUGUAUCAAUGUAGGCAUGGGUAAUAUUCUAUGGGGGGGAUUUACAUGCCGUAAAACAGUUGGUAUUAUUGUUUACGCCCUUGAUUACGAAAAAAUUAAACUAAUUAAACUUUGGUUACCAAGCCAUCGUCGGGAUUCGAAUGAGUUACUGGAAUUUUCUUGCUCGAUACAUGAUAGAAAUAGAAUUGUUUCCACAUCUAGUUCUCAAACUGAAAUUCACAGUUCGCCGUGUUCCUGUUGUUCUAUCAUACAUUCAGUAUACCAUAG